rnacentral:rRNA from 1 species
UACGGGGGGGGCAAGCGUUGUUCGGAAUUACUGGGCGUAAAGGGCUCGUAGGCGGCCAACUAAGUCAGACGUGAAAUCCCUCGGCUUAACCGGGGAACUGCGUCUGAUACUGGAUGGCUAGAGGUUGGGAGAGGGAUGCGGAAUUCCAGGUGUAGCGGUGAAAUGCGUAGAUAUCUGGAGGAACACCGGUGGCGAAGGCGGCAUCCUGGACCAAUUCUGACGCUGAGGAGCGAAAUCCAGGGGAGCAAACGGG